AGCGCAAAGGGAGACAGUGACGCGCCGGGGGUAGGAGACGGUCACCGCAGCAAGACUUCGGCGCAGAGUCAAUGGUGAGACCGGCCCAUGCGGU
rnacentral:ncRNA from 1 species